UACCGCGGUUAGACGGGCUAGAGCCCAAGUUGAUAGGCAUCGGCGUAAAGGGUGGUUAGGGGCCUAACCCAAACUAAAGUAGAACGACUUCACGGCCGUGAUACGUAUCGGAAGAACUGAAAUUCUGUGACGAAAGUAACUUUAAUAAUACCCUGAACCCACGGAAGCUAAGAAA
rnacentral:rRNA from 2 species